rnacentral:rRNA from 1 species
GUGGGGAAUUUUGGACAAUGGGCGCAAGCCUGAUCCAGCAAUGCCGCGUGCAGGAAGAAGGCCUUCGGGUUGUAAACUGCUUUUGUACGGAACGAAACGGUCCUGGUUAAUACCCGGGGCUAAUGACGGUACCGUAAGAAUAAGCACCGGCUAACUACGUGCCAGCAGCCGCGGUAAUACGUAGGGUGCAAGCGUUAAUCGGAAUUACUGAGCGUAAAGCGUGCGCAGGCGGUGCUGUAAGACAGGCGUGAAAUCCCCGGGCUUAACCUGGGAAUUGCGCUUGUGACUGCAGUGCUGGAGUGCGGCAGAGGGGGAUGGAAUUCCGCGUGUAGCAGUGAAAUGCGUAGAUAUGCGGAGGAACACCGAUGGCGAAGGCAAUCCCCUGGGCCUGCACUGACGCUCAUGCACGAAAGCGUGGGGAGCAAACAGGAUUAGAAACCCUGGUAGUCC